CGGGCGAGGCGCUCCUGUAAGGCUCAGCCAGCUUUCCUUCCGGUUCGCGGGGUCCUCACCGGCACUGCUUUUUUGGAAUUCCAAAAGAACCCCUCGGGCCCCUUCGGUGUGGACAUCUCCAACUCAUCAGGUGCCAGCGUGUGCUAACUUCGGAGGCUACCGUCCACGCCUUCGGAGGGAAAGUACACCGGCUACCUCUACGCGCCUGCCGUCCCAGGAACGAGCUGAGUGAGCAGCGGAACGAUGGGAGGCGACACGAGCUUCUACUCGCAGCAAGGAGAUCCGUACGACUAUGCGUCGAGCGUCUACUCCCUGGUGGACUUUCCGACUUCGGAAACAGCAAUAU